rnacentral:pre_miRNA from 1 species
GGCAAGACAAGGAGCUUGUUUAACAGCUGAGUGAUUUAAAGCAAUCAAAUUCCUUUAGCUUUAAAUCAUCCAGCUGUUGAACAGGCUCUUGCUUCA